CAUCUUUCAAGGAAUGGACAACCCCUAGAAGGAGAAGAAGAAGAGUUUAUUGACUGCAUCUAUAAAAUUGAAUGGGACCUUGGACAUGAGUACAUAGGUCUCAACUUUGUUGAGAUCAUCAACUAGUGGGGGCAACUAGCUAGUUCAGAUUAUCAAGUAAACUUGUUCAGGUUAAACUUGUUCUAGUGGAAGGUUCUACAGUAAACUUGUUCAGAUUAUCAAGUUGUUUGGAUUAUCAUCUAGUUUGGCUUUCAAUUUCUAUGUGAUGGUUUGUAGGAAUUUAAGUGUUUGAAUUAUCUGUUUUUAU